UGCUAGUUGCACGAGUUUAGACUCGUAGCAGAUAGCUCAGUAACACGUGGCCAAACUACCCUAUGGACCCGGACAACCUCGGGAAACUGAGGCUAAUCCGGGAUACGGUUCGCAGCCUGGAAGUGGCGCGAACCCGAAACGUCCCGGCGCCAUAGGAUGUGGCUGCGGCCGAUUAGGUAGACGGUGGGGUAACGGCCCACCGUGCCGAUAAUCGGUACGGGUUGUGAGAGCAAGAGCCCGGAGACGGAAUCUGAGACAAGAUUCCGGGCCCUACGGGGCGCAGCAGGCGCGAAACCUUUACACUGCACGAGAGUGCGAUAAGGGGACUCCAAGUGCGAGGGCAUAUAGUCCUCGCUUUUCACCACCGUAAGGAGGUGGUAGAAUAAGUGCUGGGCAAGACCGGUGCCAGCCGCCGCGGUAAUACCGGCAGCACGAGUGAUGACCGCUAUUAUUGGGCCUAAAGCGUCCGUAGCUGGCCACGCAAGUCCGUCGGGAAAUCCGCGCGCUUAACGCGCGGGCGUCCGGUGGAAACUGCGUGGCUUGGGACCGGAAGAUCCAGAGGGUACGUCUGGGGUAGGAGUGAAAUCCCGUAAUCCUGGACGGACCACCGGUGGCGAAAGCGCUCUGGAAAGACGGAUCCGACGGUGAGGGACGAAAGCUCGGGUCACGAACCGGAUUAGAUACCCGGGUAGUCCGAGCUGUAAACGAUGUCUGCUAGAUGUGCCACAGGCUACGAGCCUGUGGUGUGUCGUAGGGAAGCCGUGAAGCAGACCGCCUGGGAAGUACGUCCGCAAGGAUGAAACUUAA
rnacentral:rRNA from 1 species